GCUUCGGUGGCCUAGUGGUUAGAGCCUCCUCCUCGGUUGCGGAAGGUCUUGGGUUCGAUCCGCGGUCGAGUCU